GCACACUCGUAUCAGUUAUGUAUUUAAGAGUAUUCCUUAGUUUUAUUGCUGCCUUCCAGAGGCAGCUUCCUGAAGAAAUAUUUGAGGUCCUCUGUAAGCUUCCAGGAGUAGACUGUUUCCUCCGAGAAGGCCUGUUCGUCAGAAGAAGCAAAAGGUUUUAUUCUAGAGACAUGGACUCAAGUCGGAAGUCCUUCCAACGUUAUGACCGUUGGAGUGGACAAGAUAACCUGGGAGUGGUUACCUGGAGCCCUGGUGUCUUUGGAAGGAGCAGAUAACCCAUAGCUUUUCUGCAGAAGCAGGUUGUUUCUGGGUCUGAAAAGGAGUGCUAGAAGGGGAGAGAGCCCAACCAUCUGGACGCUAGACUCUCUCAGAGUCAUAUGAGACACUCUUCAAGUGUGGUAAGGAGGCCAAAGAAUGCAAACAUCAUAAAAUUUGGAGGUCGUGCUACAC
rnacentral:lncRNA from 1 species